UACGUAGGUGGCAAGCGUUGUCCGGAUUUAUUGGGCGUAAAGCGAGCGCAGGCGGUUCCUUAAGUCUGAUGUGAAAGCCCACGGCUCAACCGUGGAAGGUCAUUGGAAACUGGGGAACUUGAGUGCAGAAGAGGAGAGUGGAAUUCCAUGUGUAGCGGUGAAAUGCGUAGAUAUUGGGAGGAACACCUGCGGCGAAGGCGGCUACCUGGACAGAUACUGACGCUGAGGCGCGAAAGCUAGGGGAGCAAACGGGAUUAGAUACCCGGGUA
rnacentral:rRNA from 1 species